UACGGGGGGAGCAAGCGUUGUUCGGAAUCACUGGGCGUAAAGGGAGUCUAGGCGGUUUGGUAAGUGGGAUGUGAAAUCCCCGGGCUCACCCCGGGACCUGCAUCCCAAACUGCUGAGCUUGAGUACAGGAGAGGGUGGGGGAAUUCCAGGUGUAGCGGUGAAAUGCGUAGAUAUCUGGAGGAACACCGGUGGCGAAGGCGCCCACCUGGCCUGCUACUGACGCUGAGACGCGAAAGCGUGGGGAGCGAACAGG
rnacentral:rRNA from 1 species